rnacentral:lncRNA from 1 species
GAAUUUUAUAUUGUAAUCUUACGAGAGACUAUAUAAUUGUUUAAAUCUGAGAUAAUUAACUAUGUGAAACAUGUAUGUGAAUAUUAUUGAUUCGCGUAAGAAAAAAAUCAUGUAUUCAUAUGGGAACGAGUGGGAAAAUUGCUACUCGUCACAUGCGACUUCUGACACGAUGCUACGUAUGGAUAAAAAAGUGCCACGAGAAAUUCGAUUUUCUUUCUUAAGUUUUGUAUGUAUUUUUAAUAAUAGCUAUUCAGUUUUUUCAUCGUUGAUAUAUAUAAACCCACGUAAUACAAUCAAAAGUUUUGUAUGUAUUUUUAAUAAUAGCUAUUCAGUUUUUUCAUCGUUGAUAUAUAAACCUACGUAAUACAAUUAAAAUGCCACAGACGCUAGAUCUAUAUAAACAAACUUUCAUCGUUAUUUAACGAUUCG